ACAUCACAUUGAAACACCAGUUCACAUAUGAUCACUGAAGUAAAGCAACGUUGAGCCUGGUCAGCUCCUAAAUGGGUGACUGCAUGGGAAUACCAGGUGCUGUAAG